AUUUCACAGAAGCAGAAUUCACUGCGCGAAUGUCAGAUAAAUAAGAGGAAGAGGGAUGGGGGGAGGGGGACGCCCAGGGAAAUUAUCUCCUUGGCAUGAAAAUAGCCCCACAUGCCGCACACUGAGGUCCCGGGAGCAUCCCAGGCUCUGGGAACGCACCUGGAAGCUGCACCUGGAUUUCGGAGGCAGCGGCCGGGCUGGAGCCCAGGCCGGGGUCCCGGACUCACCUCCCCGGGGCCUCGGGGAUCGCCCGCUCCUCCCGCGCUACGCUCCUUCCUUCUUCCCCGUGUCAAGUCGCCGAGGAGGAGAAACAUGCAGUUUUCAAAGGUUCCAUUUAUCUGAUCUUCCGGCAAAACCGCGUCCAAGAGACUCCGCCAAAAAACCUAUGCCUUUCUCAAAGAGUCCAACGUGCAAAGCUGAGAAUUACGUCUUUCGUUGGCGCACAUACAGAGAUUUGACAGAAUGCAUUGUCUAGGUUGGCGAACGAAUCAUUUCAACACCGUGCCAUCACUGCAGAAAUGGGUAGGUUUAGCCAGCGGGAGCACUGAUGAAGGAGGAUCACGCCGUAUGGGACACACGGAGGCUUCUUGGGAGGCCUCACUGAGAAGGCUCUCUCUGUGUUGAAGGAGAAGUAGGACUUGAGAAGACAGAUGUGGGGAGAAGGUCUUGCUGUCAGAGGAAACCCAAUGCUCAAAGGCUGAGAACGGUGAACAUCAUGGUGUGUUUGGGCGAGAGGAGGAGUGGCUCUGUGUGAGCUUAUGCCUCGAUGAGCAAGAGGGAGGAGAGGGCCUCCUCUGGUGCCACCAGUGGACAAACCCAAGACUGUAUCUGGCACCUUCACAAAACCCACUUCUUAUAUCUAUCUUCUGUCCUGUGUUUGAUUUAUUUCUCCAAAUACUCAGGCCUGAUUAGGAAGCAUUUUUUUUCUCCAGUGAGAAUCUCACAUUUGUGUCUGGAUUAAUAACCUGCAUUCUACAUGCAGAAUAUUCUUACCGGAAGCCAGCAAUGGCCAGUCACCAGCAGAAGGGUGUGCAGGGGGGGCCCACGCCUGCGGCUUGCCAUCUUGAAAAGUGACCGUGUUGGAAAGGUAAUUACUAGAGGGAAGGGAGUGGCCAGGAAGCCCCGAGACAUAAAAUAGACAGAACCAUGUUUAGGUUCUUUGGGACAGUGGGAGUCUCUCAUUAUUCACGCAGUUUAUUCCACCAGAAUUUGCCCAGCACAGCUUGGUAGUGCAAACAGUGAACGCCGGAAGCAAGCAGAAACCAAACGGAUUAAGACAGCUAUGUUCAUUACAAUUCCCAACAAGUGUAAAGUCAUCCUGGAACAUUUUACAAUGUGUACCUACUCCAAGCACAAGAUCAAAACAAAUACCUUGCACGGUUUCAACAGUAAUAUUAAAGGAACGGUGGCAUCGGCAUUAGCAGACCACAUAGUAACAACCAGAAUAUUAUUCUAGAACUUUUCUUUUUUUUUAAUUUUUUUUUAAUUUUUAUCUAUUUAUGAUAGUCACAGAGAGAGAGAGAGAGAGAGGCAGAGACACAGGUAGAGGGAGAAGCAGGCUCCAUGCACCGGGAACCCGACGUGGGAUUCGAUUCCGGGUCUCCAGGAUCGCGCCCUGGGCCAAAGGCAGGCGCCAAACCGCUGCGCCACCCAGGGAUCCCCUAUUCUAGAACUUUUCAAUAUUGACCCAGUAUCCUAGAAUGUUACAAUUGAUUUUGUUGCUCUUACUGUGGGACAUUAUCUUUUUUUGUUGCUAUUACUUUUAAAAAAUAUAUUUAUUUAUUUGAGAGGGUGAAAGAGAGGAAAGCACAGAAGGAGAGGGAGAGGGAGAGGCAGGUUCCUUGCUGAGCAGCUAGCCUGAUGCAGGGGUCAGUCCCAGGACACCAAGAUCAUGACCUGAGCCCAAGGCAGAUGCUUAACUGACAGAGCCACCCAGGUGCUGCUUGCUAUUACUUGUAAAUUGAAUUUCAUUUUGAAUGUUUCCGAAACCGAAAAGCAAAUUGGAAUAUAAGAUAAAAUUUUCAUCCUCAUCCAUAUUUUUUCCUUACAUGCUUUUGCUUCUCAUGUAUCCUUCCAGGUAUGUUUAAAAAAAAAAUAUAUAUAUAGAUGUAUAUACAUAGUUACGUAUAUAUAUAGACACAUAGUUGUGCAUAUACAUAACUAUAUAUAUGCAGCUAAAAUGACACAAUCACUUUCUUUUUUAUAAAAAAAACAGUGAUAUGCAAAACACACUUUUUGAACCUUUAUUUUUCACUCGAAUAUAGAAAUAUAGUCAUUUAGGAUGUUUCUACAUUUUUGUCUUUACAAAAAAACACUGUAAUGAACAACUUUGCUCACAUGUAAUUUGAACCUUUUUAGGAUAAAUUAAAGAAUUCUAGUUGUUGUGUCAAGAUAGUUGCAAUUAUAAAUUUAGUAGGGGCAGCCCCAGUGGCUCAAUGGUUUAGCGCCGCCCUUCAGCCCAGAGCAUGAUCCUGGAGACCUGGGAUCGAGCCCCAUAUCAGGCUCUCUACAUGGAGCCUGCUUCUCCCUCUGCCUGUGUCUCUGCCUCUCUCUCUCUCUCUCUCUCUCUCUCUGUGUCUCUCAUGGAUGAAUAAAUAAAAUCUUUUUAAAAAAUUAUAAAUUUAG
rnacentral:lncRNA from 12 species